rnacentral:rRNA from 1 species
UACGGAAGGUGCAAGCAUUGUUCGGAUUGACUGGGCGUAAAGAGCACGUAGGUGGGUUUAUAUGUCGGAUGUGAAAUCCCUGGGCUUAACCUGGGAACUGCAUCCGAAACUGUAGAUCUUGAAUGUUUGAGAGGCUGGCGGAAUUCCAGGUGUAGGAGUGAAAUCCGUAGAUAUCUGGAGGAACACCGGAGGCGAAGGCG